CUCCGCCAGCAACGGGGCUGAGGGUGCCGGGUGGUGCCGAAGCCGUACCGAAUCCGCGGCUCCGGGUUUUACUAACAGCACGAGGAAGAGCCAGGGCUGUGCCGGGGAAGCUGUCAGAGGCCGCGUUCUUCUUCAGAUUCCAUGGAAAUCAAAGGAAUAUACUGCCAUCUUGUAUUUGGAAUGAAAGGUUAAAUAACCAAGAAAUGUUGCCAAAUAACAGAGACUCAGCUGUGAACACAAGAGCACACACUGGAACUGGCUUAUGAAGCGCAAGCCAGCUGGCCACUUUAGAAAAAGUCUUAGGAAAAAAUAGCCCUUCCUCAUCUAAAUCAGAAAUGGAAAAUUGAAUCUCCAGGCUUAACUGGCUUCUUUUUUAUCUCGUUUGUUUGUUUGCUUGUCUGAGGUAUACUUUGCUGAAUAACUGUGCCGUCUAGAGAGUAAAACCAAGUGUGGCUUUCAAUAAAGCAUUGCUGCAACCCUCUCCAAGGAAGAACCUAUAGAUGAUUCCAUGCAGGAAACACUCUGCAUGCAGGCCAUGUCAGGUGACAGGAGGCAAUAGGAACCUGCCUGCCUGAUUGCCAUAUGUUCUUGUGUUUGUUUGUUUGUGUGUAUAAAUAUAUAUUAUGUACACAUACGUAUAUAUGCAUAUAAUCAGUGUUUAUUUCCACAUCUUGUAUGCUCCCAGAUUCUUUCAUUUUCUGUGUUUCAGAAAUACUUUAUGUCCUACCCACCAAAUGCACACAGAAGAUUCCAACAGCAUAAACAGAGGCCCAGUGAGUACAAAUAUUUAAAAAGUAAGAAAAUAAUACAUUCUCAAAUUUCAUCUUAUUUUGGAAGUAUAAACAGCUUUCCUGCUGCCCCAGGAACCAAGAAACUCUGUUUGUUUAGCAUUUGCAACUUGGACUGAAUCAUUUAUUAGACAAACAAGACGAGUGACUUAUCUUUAUUUCUCAACUGUGAUAUCGUUGGAGAGACAAAACAGCAUUUUGAAACAGGUGCCAGCAAUUGUCAUCUCAGAGUGGCACGCAUUUGGUAGCAACAGUCGGGUGUCCUAUUAUGAAUUGCUUUACGGGGCUUCCAUUACAGCUAGUCCGCAGUGGCUUCAAGAUGAAAUCCCACUGAGAGGCAGCCCUGAGCAUGCAGGUGGAAGCUGAAUGUGAGAGAGAUGGUCCAGUCUUCAUCAUAUGAAACAGGGCUCAACUGUGAAAAGGUGCAAGUAUUACUGAACAAAAUGAUGGUUCACUUCGGAUAAGCAUUC